AUGCCUGUUGAUUUGCUUUGUUUUUAAAUCUCCCUGAAAGUUAGACAAAGUAAGAACAAUGUAACAUGGGGUUUAUAAUAUGUAUCAGUAUGAUGUGUAACAAGAGCACAGUUCGGAUGGGAGAGAAGGAAGUGGGUUUUCUAAGGCUCCUACAUAGUCCUUGGAGAGGGGCAGUAUUGGUGAAGUAUUUUACUUGUGUAUGUUAUAAACGUCGUAUCAAAUUAUUAUAUUGUUUAGUCAAUUAGCUUCCAUGGAGAUGUGAAAAGCAGAACAAACAUCGUUAGCAUCUCCAGCUCUUUAUUCUGUUCUGUAGAUGACUAUUUUCAUCUGUGCUUGUCUUCCCUUUGCAGGAUUCUGCUCAAUGCAUUUUCACUCCUGAAGAUGAGUUCUUCAUCCUUUUGCCAGGUAUUUUCAGGAGUUUCCUUCCAGGUGUGGCUGAUCAGCACAGAGCUCAACAGUUGAGCGGAAUCUCUCUGUAAACUUCAGGAAUGUCUGCUCUCUGUCAGGCUGUCCUUCCUGCAUCAGCUCUAACAACCGUGGUCGCCCCACACCCGAGCUCUGUGUUCACCACUCUGAGAGCUUGCCCACCUCUGCCUGGGUCUCUUUCUUUGCAUCGUGACUUGGAAACCCUCUGAAGAGCUGACACGUCAGUGACAUUAUGAGGAAGAAGAUGAAGCUCAAAGGUAAGAUUUACAAACAUGUGCUCCCUGCUCUUAGAUUAAGUGUCCCUGAAGACUUCAACGUAAAGUGGAUGUCUCUGUGACAAAAUCCGGAUCAUGCGCGAGAGCCGAUGCCUUCUGCUUGGAUAGCAGUGGCAACCAGUGACUAUGUAAAUCUGAUGACAGCAAGCGCGGGCACUGGAGAGUGU
rnacentral:sRNA from 1 species